UGUGUGUAAGUAAGUGUUUAAGGGCGCAUGGUGGAUGCCUUGGCAUCGAGAGCCGAUGAAGGACGUGGGAGGCUGCGAUAUGCCUCGGGGAGCUGUCAACCGAGCAUUGAUCCGAGGAUUUCCGAAUGGGGAAACCCAGCACGAGUGAUGUCGUGUUACCCGUAUCUGAAUAUAUAGGGUGCGGGAGGUAACGCGGGGAAGUGAAACAUCUCAGUACCCGUAGGAGAAGAAAACAAUUGUGAUUCCGUCAGUAGUGGCGAGCGAACGCGGAACAGGCUAAACCGCAUGCAUGGACAACCGGGUAGGGGUUGUGUGUGCGGGGUUGUGGGAUUGAUAUGUCUCAGCUCUACCUGGCUGAGGGGUAGUCAGAAAGUGUCGUGGUUAGCGGAAGUGGCCUGGGACGGCCCGCCGUAGACGGUGAGAGCCCGGUACGCGAAAACCCGGCACCUGCCUUAUAUCAACACCCGAGUAGCAGCGGGCCCGUGGAAUCUGCUGUGAAUCUGCCGGGACCACCCGGUAAGCCUAAAUACUUCUCGAUGACCGAUAGCGGAUUAGUACCGUGAGGGAAUGGUGAAAAGUACCCCGGGAGGGGAGUGAAAUAGUACCUGAAACCGUGUGCCUACAAUCCGUCAGAGCCUCCUCGUGGGGUGAUGGCGUGCCUUUUGAAGAAUGAGCCUGCGAGUCAGGGACACGUCGCGAGGUUAACCCGUGCGGGGUAGCCGCAGCGAAAGCGAGUCUGAAUAGGGCGCAUCCCCUUUGGGGUGUAGUGGCGUGUUCUGGACCCGAAGCGGAGUGAUCUACCCAUGGCCAGGGUGAAGCGCGGGUAAGACCGCGUGGAGGCCCGAACCCACUUAGGUUGAAGACUGAGGGGAUGAGCUGUGGGUAGGGGUGAAAGGCCAAUCAAACUCCGUGAUAGCUGGUUCUCCCCGAAAUGCAUUUAGGUGCAGCGUUGCGUGGUUCACCACGGAGGUAGAGCUACUGGAUGGCCGAUGGGCCCUACUAGGUUACUGACGUCAGCCAAACUCCGAAUGCCGUGGUGUAAAGCGUGGCAGUGAGACGGCGGGGGAUAAGCUCCGUACGUCGAAAGGGAAACAGCCCAGAUCGCCGGCUAAGGCCCCUAAGCGUGUGCUAAGUGGAAAAGGAUGUGUAGUCGCAGAGACAACCAGGAGGUUGGCUUAGAAGCAGCCACCCUUGAAAGAGUGCGUAAUAGCUCACUGGUCAAGUGAUUAUGCGCCGAUAAUGUAGCGGGGCUCAAGCACACCGCCGAAGCCGCGGCACAUUCAUCUUUACGGUGGAUGUGGGUAGGGGAGCGUCCCCCAUUCAGCGAAGCCUCCGGGUGACCGGUGGUGGAGGGUGGGGGAGUGAGAAUGCAGGCAUGAGUAGCGAUAAGGCAAGUGAGAACCUUGCCCGCCGUAAGACCAAGGGUUCCUGGGCCAGGCCAGUCCGCCCAGGGUGAGUCGGGACCUAAGGCGAGGCCGACAGGCGUAGUCGAUGGACAACGGGUUGAUAUUCCCGUACCCGUGUAUGGGCGUCCCUGAUGAAUCAGCGACCUUCGCUGGUAGUAGUCAAGCAAUGGGGUGACGCAGGAAGGCAGCCGUACCAGUCAGUGGUAAUACUGGGGCAAGCCCGUAGGGAGAGCGAUAGGCAAAUCCGUCGCUCACUAAUCCUGAGAGGUGAUGCAUAGCCGGUUGAGGCGAAUUCGGUGAUCCUCUGCUGCCAAGAAAAGCCUCUAGCGAGCACAUACACGGCCCGUACCCCAAACCAACACAGGUGGUCAGGUAGAGAAUACCAAGGCGUACGAGAUAACUAUGGUUAAGGAACUCGGCAAAAUGCCCCCGUAACUUCGGGAGAAGGGGGGCCGGAAUACCGUGAACACCCUUGCGGUGGGAGCGGGAUUCGGCCGCAGAAACCAGUGGGUAGCGACUGUUUACUAAAAACACAGGUCCGUGCGAAGUCGCAAGACGAUGUAUACGGACUGACGCCUGCCCGGUGCUGGAAGGUUAAGAGGACCCGUUAACCCGUAAGGGUGAAGCGGAGAAUUUAAGCCCCAGUAAACGGCGGUGGUAACUAUAACCAUCCUAAGGUAGCGAAAUUCCUUGUCGGGUAAGUUCCGACCUGCACGAAUGGCGUAACGACUUCCCAACUGUCUCAACCAUAGACUCGGCGAAAUUGCACUACGAGUAAAGAUGCUCGUUACGCGCGGCAGGACGAAAAGACCCCGGGACCUUCACUACAACUUGGUAUUGGUGUUCGGUACGGUUUGUGUAGGAUAGGUGGGAGACUUUGAAGCACAGACGCCAGUUUGUGUGGAGUCGUUGUUGAAAUACCACUCUGAUCGUAUUGGACACCUAACGUCGAACCCUUAUCGGGUUCACGGACAGUGCCUGGCGGGUAGUUUAACUGGGGCGGUUGCCUCCUAAAAUGUAACGGAGGCGCCCAAAGGUUCCCUCAACCUGGACGGCAAUCAGGUGGCGAGUGUAAGUGCACAAGGGAGCUUGACUGCGAGACUUACAAGUCAAGCAGGGACGAAAGUCGGGACUAGUGAUCCGGCACCCCCGAGUGGAAGGGGUGUCGCUCAACGGAUAAAAGGUACCCCGGGGAUAACAGGCUGAUCUUCCCCAAGAGUCCAUAUCGACGGGAUGGUUUGGCACCUCGAUGUCGGCUCGUCGCAUCCUGGGGCUGGAGCAGGUCCCAAGGGUUGGGCUGUUCGCCCAUUAAAGCGGCACGCGAGCUGGGUUUAGAACGUCGUGAGACAGUUCGGUCUCUAUCCGCCGCGCGCGUCAGAAACUUGAGGAAACCUGUCCCUAGUACGAGAGGACCGGGACGGACGAACCUCUGGUAUACCAGUUGUCCCACCAGGGGCACGGCUGGAUAGCCACGUUCGGACAGGAUAACCGCUGAAAGCAUCUAAGCGGGAAACCUUCUCCAAGAUCAGGUUUCUCACCCUUUUAGAGGGAUAAGGCCCCCCGCAGACCACGGGAUUGAUAGGCCAGACCUGGAAGCUCAGUAAUGAGUGCAGGGAACUGGCACUAACCGGCCGAAAAC
rnacentral:rRNA from 1 species